GUCUACUUCUGAAAGUUUCUCAGAAAUUUCAAUGACAUAAGCAGAAAGAGAUGACCACCUUGAAGUCAGAAAUCGAGCCAAGUGCAACUUUUUUCUGUUUAACACUUUAGUGUAUGAGCUAUUUUGAUUAUUUUAGCGAGGCCCAGGUAUUAUGUUAUGUUUUAGGGAAUUGCUGGCAUAGAGAAGGACCUUAGAAAGGCA
rnacentral:misc_RNA from 1 species